GCAGGACUAUGGCGCUACAACGCCGCGCCGUCAGGGUGGACUCAGGCACCACCACAGGCAGGGUGGGGUUCGUGGGGCGAUGGGACCCCUGGGGACGGCGCCACGAGCUAGGAGGACCUGUGGGGGGUACUCGGUGACGAGCAAAGUACCUUUGCCUCCAUCUUCUCGACUAGGACGCAUGUUAGACCCUUUUGCCCUCAUGUUGGACUUGUAGGACUUGUUGGACAUGUAUGUUGGACAUGUAUGCACUUGUUACGCGACGUUAUGUGUAUUUCGGACAUGUAUCGAUGGAUUUGAUGAUGUUCAUGUGUGGAUUCAUGUUGAGAUCGAAUCCGAUGAUGAAAUGCGGUUUAUAUGCUAUAUUGUUAUUAUAAACGUGAUCUGUGGUAUAUAUA